GACGAACGCUGGCGGCGUGCUUAACACAUGCAAGUCGAACGGAAAGGCCCUGCUUUUGUGGGGUGCUUGAGUGGCGAACGGGUGAGUAACACGUGAGUAACCUGCCCUUGACUUUGGGAUAACUUCAGGAAACUGGGGCUAAUACCGGAUAGGAGCUCCUGCUGCAUGGUGGGGGUUGGAAAGUUUCGGCGGUUGGGGAUGGACUCGCGGCUUAUCAGCUUGUUGGUGGGGUAGUGGCUUACCAAGGCUUUGACGGGUAGCCGGCCUGAGGGGGUGACCGGCCACAUUGGGACUGAGAUACGGCCCAGACUCCUACGGGAGGCAGCAGUGGGGAAUAUUGCACAAUGGGCGGAAGCCUGAUGCAGCAACGCCGCGUGCGUGAUGACGGCCUUCGGGUUGUAAACCGCUUUCGCCUGUGACGAAGCGUGAGUGACGGUAAUGGGUAAAGAAGCACCGGCUAACUACGUG
rnacentral:rRNA from 1 species